rnacentral:rRNA from 1 species
GGGCAUGGGCGCAGCCUGAUGCAGCGACGCCGCGUGAGGGAUGACGGCCUUCGGGUUGUAAACCUCUUUCAGUAGGGAAGAAGCGAAAGUGACGGUACCUGCAGAAGAAGCGCCGGCUAACUACGUGCCAGCAGCCGCGGUAAUACGUAGGGCGCAAGCGUUAUCCGGAAUUAUUGGGCGUAAAGAGCUCGUAGGCGGUUUGUCGCGUCUGCCGUGAAAGUCCGGGGCUCAACUCCGGAUCUGCGGUGGGUACGGGCAGACUAGAGUGAUGUAGGGGAGACUGGAAUUCCUGGUGUAGCGGUGAAAUGCGCAGAUAUCAGGAGGAACACCGAUGGCGAAGGCAGGUCUCUGGGCAUUAACUGACGCUGAGGAGCGAAAGCAUGGGGAGCGAACAGGAUUAGAACCCCCUGGUAGA